rnacentral:rRNA from 1 species
UACAGAGGUCCCGAGCGUUGUUCGGAUUCACUGGGCGUAAAGGGUGCGUAGGUGGCAUGGUAAGUUUGAUGUGAAAGCUCAGGGCUUAACCCUGAAAUGGCAUUGAAUACUACUGUGCUGGAGGUUUGGAGGGGGGACUGGAAUUCUUGGUGUAGCAGUGAAAUGCGUAGAUAUUGGGAGGAACACCAGUGGCGAAGGCGGCGACCUGGGAAGAUACUGACGCUGAGGCACGAAAGCGUGGGGAGCAAACAGG